rnacentral:rRNA from 1 species
CCUACGGGAGGCAGCAGUGGGGAAUUUUGGACAAUGGGGGCAACCCUGAUCCAGCAAUGCCGCGUGAGUGAAGAAGGCCUUCGGGUUGUAAAGCUCUUUUGUCAGGGAAGAAACAGCAGCUCUAACACAGCUGUGAAUGACGGUACCUGAAGAAUAAGCACCGGCUAACUACGUGCCAGCAGCCGCGGUAAUACGUAGGGUGCAAGCGUUAAUCGGAAUUACUGGGCGUAAAGCGUGCGCAGGCGGUUAUAUAAGACAGGUGUGAAAUCCCCGGGCUUAACCUGGGAAUUGCAUCUGUGACUGUAUAGCUAGAGUGUGUCAGAGGGGGGUAGAAUUCCACGUGUAGCAGUGAAAUGCGUAGAUAUGUGGAGGAAUACCAAUGGCGAAGGCAGCCCCCUGGGAUAACACUGACGCUCAUGCACGAAAGCGUGGGGAGCAAACAGGAUUAGAUACCCUGGUAGUCCACGCCCUAAACGAUGCUGACUAGUUGUUCGGGUAUUUUAUCCUGAGUAACGUAGCUAACGCGUGAGUCAGCGCCGCGGAGGUACGGUCGCGAGAGUAAACGUACGAAGAAGUAGUACGGACGUGAGACGNGCGACGGACGACGACGAGGGAGGAGG